GGUUAAUUAGCUCAAGUGGUAGAGCACUUGCUUAGCACGCGAGAAGCAGUGGGAUCAAUGCCCGAAUUCUCCG
rnacentral:tRNA from 1 species